AUUUUUGAACAAUGGGGGCAACGCUGAUCCAGCCAUCCCGCGUGUGCGAUGAUGGCCNNNGGGUUNUAAAGCACUUUUGGCAGNGACNAAAAGGCUCUGGUUAAUACCUGGAGUUGCUGACUGUACCAGCAGAAUAAUCACCGGCUCACUACGUCCCCGCAGCCGCGGUAAUACGUAGGGUGCAAGCGUUAAUCGGAAUUACUGGGCGUAAAGCGUGCGCAGGCGGUGCGGCAAGAAGGAUGUGAAAUCCCAGGGCUUAACCUUGGAACUGCAUUCUUAACUGCCGGGCUAGAGUAUGUCAGAGGGGGGUAGAAUUCCGCGUGUAGCAGUGAAAUGCGUAGAGAUGCGGAGGAAUACCGAUGGCGAAGGCAGCCCCCUGGGAUAAUACUGACGCUCAUGCACGAAAGCGUGGGGAGCAAACA
rnacentral:rRNA from 1 species